rnacentral:rRNA from 1 species
CCUGGUUGAUCCUGCCAGUGGUCAUAUGCUUGUCUCAAAGAUUAAGCCAUGCAUGUCUAAGCAGAAGCCGAACAACGGUAAAGCCGCGAAUGGCUCAUUACAACAGCCGUCGUUUCUUGGAUCUCUUAUUUUACUUGGAUAACUGUGGUAAUUCUAGAGCUAAUACACGCACUAAAGCUCCGACCUUACGGGACGAGCGCAUUUAUUAGAACAAAACCAAUCGGGUUUCGGCCCGUCCGUUGGUGACUCUGAAUAACUACGCCGAUCGCACGGUCUCGUACCGGCGACGUAUCUUUCAAGUGUCUGCCUUAUCAACUUUCGAUGGUAGUUUAUGUGCCUACCAUGGUUGUAACGGGUAACGGAGAAUAAGGGUUCGACUCCGGAGAGGGAGCCUGAGAAACGGCUACCACAUCCAAGGAAGGCAGCAGGCGCGCAAAUUACCCACUCUCGGCACGAGGAGGUAGUGACGAAAAAUAACGAGACGGAUCUCUUUGAGGCCCGUUAUCGGAAUGAGAACAAUUCAAAUCCUUUAACGAGGAUCUAGCGGAGGGCAAGUCUGGUGCCAGCAGCCGCGGUAAUUCCAGCUCCGCAGGUGUAUAUCUAUGCUGCUGCGGUUAAAAAGCUCGUAGUUGGAUCUGCGUGCUCGGAACCGGUUGGCUCACUGAGUUUAAACUGGUCUCCGGCGCUUUAUCGGCUGGUUUUCCCUUGAUGCUCUUAACCGGGUGUCUUGGGUGGCUAGCACGUUUACUUUGAAAAAAUUAGAGUGCUCAAUACAGGCGCAAAGCCUUGAAUAGUGGUGCAUGGAAUAAUAGAAUAGGACCUCGGUUCUAUUUUGUUGGUUUUCGGAACGCGAGGUAAUGAUUAAGAGGGACAGACGGGGGCAUUCGUAUUGCGACGUUAGAGGUGAAAUUCUUGGAUCGUCGCAAGACGGACGACUGCGAAAGCAUUUGCCAAGAAUGUUUUCAUUAAUCAAGAACGAAAGUUAGAGGUUCGAAGGCGAUCAGAUACCGCCCUAGUUCUAACCGUAAACGAUGCCAACUAGCGAUC